rnacentral:rRNA from 1 species
GGGAGUACGGCCGCAAGGCUGAAACUCAAAGGAAUUGACGGGGGCCCGCACAAGCGGUGGAGCAUGUGGUUUAAUUCGAAGCAACGCGAAGAACCUUACCAGGUCUUGACAUCCUCUGAAAACUCUAGAGAUAGAGCUUCUCCUUCGGGAGCAGAGUGACAGGUGGUGCAUGGUAGUCGUCAGCUCGUGUCGUGAGAUGUUGGGUUAAGUCCCGCAACGAGCGCAACCCUUGAUCUUAGUUGCCAUCAUUAAGUUGGGCACUCUAAGGUGACUGCCGGUGACAAACCGGAGGAAGGUGGGGAUGACGUCAAAUCAUCAUGCCCCUUAUGACCUGGGCUACACACGUGCUACAAUGGACGGUACAAAGAGCUGCAAGACCGCGAGGUGGAGCUAAUCUCAUAAAACCGUUCUCAGUUCGGAUUGUAGGCUGCAACUCGCCUACAUGAAGCUGGAAUCGCUAGUAAUCGCGGAUCAGCA